CAGUCGCCGCGGGAAUACGGAGGGUGCAAGCGUUAAUCGGAAUUACUGGGCGUAAAGCGCACGCAGGCGGUUUGUUAAGUCAGAUGUGAAAUCCCCGAGCUUAACUUGGGAACUGCAUUUGAAACUGGCAAGCUAGAGUCUUGUAGAGGGGGGUAGAAUUCCAGGUGUAGCGGUGAAAUGCGUAGAGAUCUGGAGGAAUACCGGUGGCGAAGGCGGCCCCCUGGACAAAGACUGACGCUCAGGUGCGAAAGCGUGGGGAGCAAACAGGAUUAGAUACCCCGGUAGUCCCUGUCUCUUAUAC
rnacentral:rRNA from 1 species